AGACGCAGUGCAUUAGACCGCCACAUUUACCCCCACCAUAACAAACAGCGGACGUACGACCUCAUAGCACAAUCUGGGAAACAUAGUUUCUUAGCUGACAGGUCAGUUUUUUCCCCUCCUUAUUUGAAGCACAAGCUCUGACUCAUGACUACUAGCCUUAUCAAGUUAACUGGGACUGAUUGCAAAGAAUAGACUAAGCCUGAGAGAAACCGUCACAUUGCAACUCUUCUAAAGAACAGUCAACAUCAGCAAAUCAUCAUGAAAUAUCACUGCACGAUGCUCUUGGUGCUCCUCGCUUUCUUGGCCAUCACAUGUGAUGUAAAUGAGGCAGCUGCAUUUCCAAUUCCAUGGGGAUGCUCAAACUACAGUGGGAUCUGCCGUGCUGUCUGUCUGUCAGCAGAACUACCAUUUGGACCUUUUGGAUGUGCAAAAGGAUUUGUAUGCUGUGUCGCCCACGUCUUCUAAAUCUCUUCAGUUUUUGUCCUGCGCCUAAACUUCCAGCUAAAUCAACGCAACAGUCACUUAUCUAUGCACUUUGGCAUUUAUCAUCUUGCAAUUGAAGACAGUGAUUAUAAGACAUGCAUUCACAGAUACUCCCUUUGUCUGCAUUGAUGUUCCUCCAACUUUUCUUCAAUACCAACUACACUGGCAUGAUUAUCACACGUACAACAUGUUUUGAAAUUAAAUGGUUUGACAUUUUAAAACACUACUUCAAAAUAAAAUGAGAAUGGAAAAUAUUA